UCUCAACAAAGGAUAUCUUGGCUCCCGUAACGAUGAAGAACGCAGCGAAAUGCGAUACGUAGUGUGAAUUGCAGAAUUCCGUGAACCAUCGAAUCUUUGAACGCAAAUUGCGCUCGAGGCUUCGGCCAAGAGCAUGUCUGCCUCAGCGUCGGCUACUACCC
rnacentral:rRNA from 1 species